UACGUAGGGUGCAAGCGUUGUCCGGAAUUAUUGGGCGUAAAGAGCUCGUAGGCGGUUUGUUGCGUCGGCUGUGAAAACUCGGGGCUCAACCCCGAGCCUGCAGUCGAUACGGGCAGACUAGAGUGCUGUAGGGGAGACUGGAAUUCCUGGUGUAGCGGUGGAAUGCGCAGAUAUCGGGAGGAACACCGGUGGCGAAGGCGGUUCUCUGGGCCUGUACUGACGCUGAGGAGCGAAAGCGUGGGGAGCGAACAGG
rnacentral:rRNA from 1 species